rnacentral:misc_RNA from 1 species
AAUCAUCAACUGCUUUGACUUUGUUGUCAAAGUGAAGUUGGAUUUGGAGUGUUUGCUGGCCUGUCCGGCUCCUUCCAAAAGUAUAGACCUCCUUCCUCUCUUGGUAAGAAAGUAUCCCUUGACGUGAUAAUUGUCUGUGUCGUGGAGAAAGCCUUGAGUGGAGAAGGUGUGGCUUGUGGGGUUUAUAUGGCCCCCCUUAGUUUUGACCA